rfam:Schistosoma mattheei strain Denwood, Zambia genome assembly, scaffold: SMTD_scaffold0008225
AUCCAGCUGACGAGUCCCGAAUAAGAAGAAACGUUCGUCCUGGAU